rnacentral:rRNA from 1 species
UACGUAGGUGGCAAGCGUUGUCCGGAAUUAUUGGGCGUAAAGCGCGCGCAGGCGGUCCCUUAAGUCUGAUGUGAAAGCCCACGGCUCAACCGUGGAGGGUCAUUGGAAACUGGGGGACUUGAGUACAGAAGAGGAAAGCGGAAUUCCACGUGUAGCGGUGAAAUGCGUAGAGAUGUGGAGGAACACCAGUGGCGAAGGCGGCUUUCUGGGACGGUACUGACGCUGAGACGCGAAAGCGUGGGUAGCAAACAGG